CACAGCUGCUACCUCUGACACUGUACGCCAUCUCUGACUCACCAGAGACGGUUUAUACUCCGGUGUCAUUGUCAGCUCUGAAUUGUCUCCUCUGUCUUGUGUAGAAGGGAUCUCGCAGGGAUUCUUCACAAUGGCUACAAAAAAUACAAUGAGCCAAAGUCAUCAAAUAUCAUUCAUCUGUCCACAACUGUUUUGUCUCUUUCCCUUUUUCAUGCCCUUUUCACACCCAAACCCACGCUGUCCGUCUCUAUGCUGCCCACAACUUGCUUUUCCUCUGUUUCUGCCCUCCUUCUUUUUCUCUCCAUUUCUCCAGAGCUCCAGCACACGCACAAAGAAAAGGGCAGAGAGCUAAUCCUCCAGCAUUGUUGGGUGGGCUUAGUAUUGUCAUAUGGUAGCAAGCACAGAGGGAGAGGGAUUAUGAGACAGAUAUAUGCCGGAGUAUACGCCACCUCUAAGCAUUGAUAUUUUGAAGAAACACCCAUUUUCUGCAGUUUGAUGAGAUUUCACAAGUGUUUCAGCACACACAACACCAAGAGACAAUGCGAUAUGGCUUCUACAGUCUACAAGCAGAAAUCUCAGCGGGAGGAGCGAUACCGCGACAGGGCCUAACCCUGACCUCUGACCUUUAACUGCUGAGGAACACCGAGACAGAUGAAGUUGCCCACAGACACUGAUCUGGAGUGACUUUUGCAAUUUUCCCCUGUAACGGGCGAGCUUACGAGACGGAGAGGAGACUCUGAUUAUCAGCUGAUCAGCAGGAUGACUGACCUCGCCCUGCUGAUCUGAGUUCUGUCGUGCGCAAGUUAAACCUCACGUCCUCGACUUCUCCAGCGACACAGGCGACACCGAAAGGACUCCCCAGUUACUGUCUGUUCUAAGAG